rnacentral:lncRNA from 1 species
UCUCAGUUUUCUUUCCAGUAAUAUCUCUGUUUUUCUUUCCAGCAGCUUCUUGGUUUUCUUCACUGCAGCAUCUCAGUUUUCUCUCAGCAUCAUCAUCAGAAGAAGAACUCCUCUCCAUUCAAAUACUCACAGAAAUGGUAUAAAAAUCACAAAUUUGACUAAGGAACCAUAAAAUUAACAAAUGAUUUAACAUACUCCCCAUAAAUAUAGAUCGUGUAUCCUGCCAUUUUUCAUUCCAAUACUCAAAACUCACAUCAGUAAAAACACUCAAAUUACUAUACACAUUGAUAAAAUUCGACGAAGCCUAUCAACAUUAAAUUACAUUCCCAAAUAUAUAUUAAACAAAAAAUAAAAAAAAAAAGAUCAAACCAGAGAAUGAGCUAAAUUCACAGCCAUUUUCUUGGAUCAACCAACAUGGAAAGGGCUAAUUUCCCCAGUUCGCAGGGAAUUAGCAAUUUCAUCAGCAACAGUUAAACAAGAAACUAUCCAACCACUCAGUGCCAUCCAUAUCAUACUUGCCAUCCAAAUUGUCAUAUUCCAUGGCAUCGCCAUUGUCUCUAUGUCCCAAUCCUGGAAAAUUUCAAAUGUUUCACUCUGAUUCAAGAAACAAUUAAAAGAAAUUGAAAUAGUUAGAUUUAAGACGAACCCAUAUCAAGAACAAACCCUCAUCCCCAUUUCCCAAACCAUCAAAUUCUUAACUAUUCUCAAAAAUCCAAAAUCUUUCCAAUAAAAUAGCACACAAUUUCUUGAUUCUCUUGAACUGGAUUGAAUAAUCAACCUCGAGAAUCAAAGGUUCUCAAUUUGAAGACAAUACUAUCAAGAUUGACCCAAAAAUUCUUGCUUCAGAUUAAACGAUCAGACAAAAUCACAACCCACCAAACUCUUUCUUGAUUUUGGAUUCUUCAAAUUUUGAUUCUCAACUUGAAGACAAUACUUUCAAGAUUGGCCCAAAUAUUCUUGCUUCAGAUUAAAUAAACAGACAAAAUCACAACCCACCAAACUCUUUCACGAUUUUGGAUUCUUCAAAAUGGUAUCUAUGGCUAAAUAGAAAACAAGUAGAUGGAUUGAAAUUGGAGGGUAAUCUAUUUUGGGGUGAGGUUUCAGAAAUCUCUAGAAGUGCAAUCUGCAGAAUGGAUUUUUGUGACAAUUUUGGACUCUACGAAGUUGGUGAAGUGUAC